rnacentral:tRNA from 1 species
GGAAGAAUGCCCGAGCGGCCAAAGGGAGCAGACUGUAAAUCUGCCGGCUUAUGCCUUCGGUGGUUCGAAUCCACCUUCUUCCA